rnacentral:rRNA from 1 species
GAUGAACGCUAGCGGCAGGCCUAACACAUGCAAGUCGAGGGGUAGAACACUUCGGUGUUUGAGACCGGCGCACGGGUGCGUAACGCGUAUGCAAUCUACCUUAUACAGGGGAAUAGCCCAGAGAAAUUUGGAUUAAUGCCCCAUAGCAUUACGACUUGGCAUCAAGAUGUAAUUAAAGUUCCAACGGUAUAAGAUGAGCAUGCGUCCCAUUAGUUAGUUGGUAAGGUAACGGCUUACCAAGACGAUGAUGGGUAGGGGUCCUGAGAGGGAGAUCCCCCACACUGGUACUGAGACACGGACCAGACUCCUACGGGAGGCAGCAGUGAGGAAUAUUGGUCAAUGGUCGCAAGACUGAACCAGCCAUGCCGCGUGCAGGAAGACGGUCCUAUGGAUUGUAAACUGCUUUUAUACAGGAAGAAACCCUCCCACGUGUGGGAGCUUGACGGUACUGUAGGAAUAAGGAUCGGCUAACUCCGUGCCAGCCGCCGCCGUAA